GUCUGGCUCUGUGAUUGGGCGUGAGGCAACUGGGAUCUCUCAGUCAGCGUGUGCACUGUCACGGCGGGGUGGCCCGCUGACCGGCGACCUCCAGGAAAGGAAGUGCAGUAGGCUGGGUUUAAACAUCUGAAGGUAGGUGGUCGAGCCGCGGUAAACGGCGAUCCACCGGGGCCAUCCGAGCGCCUCUGGCGCCCCUUAGCGGGACUGCGGUUCCACUAUCCGAAACCACAAGGUGGAGCCAUUAUCAUUUUCCUCCAUUAAAUGCUCCCACAAACCACGGCUCAAGGGUGCGCUCUACGCACCUGCACGCUACGCAGGCGCAAAGCUUUUCUUUCCUCACAAAGACGGCGGGGGGUCGGGCCAGGCAAAUAGAGUCAUCAUUCCGCUUCU